rnacentral:lncRNA from 1 species
GUGAAUCGUGUUGCUCUUCCCCAGAGGGGGACGUGUCAGUUCAGCCAGUUCACCUGUCACCAGCUUGUAGAUCAAAGGUCCACCAUCAAAGCACCAAAGACUCAAGACACAGAGGAUGAGGAGGGGGCUCAGUGGAAUUGCACUGCCUGUACAUUUCUGAACCACCCGGCCUUGAUCCGCUGUGAGCAGUGUGAGAUGCCGCGGCAUUUCUGAGCCAAAGGCCCCGUCUUCCUCUGAAGCCACGUCUAAACUUCAAGACCGUCGCCUGUCAUGGGGAAGUGUGUCACCCACGUAGGAGUUAGUCCAGUUGAAGGUGUGGGGAGACAGCGGUGUGCUGUGUCGAGUGUCAGCCCACAGAGCUAACGAUACCUCAGUCUAAGUCACGGGCAGUGGGAUUCGUCACCUGAAAGGUGACCUGAGAGACCGGGCUGCCUGCUGCCUGACCAUGUGCAGUGUCACCGUGUCAAUGCCUAGGCGUUCCCAGGACUUCUCCCCUCUUGUCACUACUGAUCUCGAUGGGAGGAAGGAACAGGAUGAUCGCUUUUUGUGUUUUUAAAGCUUUUGGUGAAACACUACAUACACAAAGAGAAGGAACAAGGUUUGACUAUUAAAAACUCUGCUGCCACAUAGUGCCAGUAGAUGUGGGAAUCGUCACAAAUCUGUGGUACUUUUGGCCUUGUCCUCUGUCUUCCCUGAGGACGUCUCUGUGAAGCCAGCAUCUAGGUGUGAGAUCAAAGGAAAGCAGUGUGUCUGUCUGUACA